rnacentral:rRNA from 1 species
UACGGGGGGGGCAAGCGUUGUUCGGAAUUACUGGGCGUAAAGGGCUCGUAGGCGGCCAACUAAGUCAGACGUGAAAUCCCUCGGCUUAACCGGGGAACUGCGUCUGAUACUGGAUGGCUUGAGGUUGGGAGAGGGAUGCGGAAUUCCAGGUGUAGCGGUGAAAUGCGUAGAUAUCAGGAGGAACACCCGUGGCGAAGGCGGCUCUCUGGGACGGUACUGACGCUGAGACGCGAAAGCGUGGGGAGCGAACAGG